CUUUUCUUUUCUUUUUUAGGUAUUGGGGAUCAAACUCAGGACCUUGUGCUUGCCAGGCAGGUGCAGUGCCACUGAGCUAGGACUCCAGCCCUCGGGUUCCUUUCCCAUGACAUUUGGAAUCUAUCUGAAUUUGUUGACCUCUCCUCCUACCGUAAUACCUUCCAUGGUGUGCACAAGGCAAGAAGCUCCUUACCAGAGGCCAAAAUGAUAGAGCUGCCUGAUAUGAACUUUUGCCCGUCAUAAGUAGGAGCUAAAAAAACCUCUUUUCCUUAUGAAGCCUCCACUUCCAGGUAUGUAUGUAUGUAUGUAUUUGUUUAUUUAUUUAUUGCAAAGGAAACAGAA
rnacentral:lncRNA from 1 species